rnacentral:rRNA from 1 species
GUGCCAGCAGCCGCGGUAAUACGGAGGGUGCAAGCGUUAUCCGGAAUCAUUGGGUUUAAAGGGUGCGCAGGCGGGGCUUUAAGUCAGUGGUGAAAUCCCUUCGCUUAACGAAGGAACUGCCAUUGAUACUGAAGCUCUUGAAUUUAGUUGGCGUGGGCGGAAUGUGCCAUGUAGCGGUGAAAUGCUUAGAUAUGGCACAGAACACCGAUCGCGAAGGCAGCUCACGAAACUAAUAUUGACGCUCAGGCACGAAAGCAUGGGGAGCAAACAGGAUUAGAUACCCCGGUAGUCC